GUUCUCCCUCGCUCGCUCUGUUUCCGCGGUUACCAGUCGCUCUGCUUGGUUAUGCAAUGCACGCUGCUUUCAGGCUCCGAGACGGGACCUAUAACCACACGACUGCCAUCGGCUACGGACAGAGUACGGCUGGGUGGGGUGCUCGCAGCCUCAGGUUGACAAACUGCCGAACCUCCAGAGGAGUUUGCGCGCAUCUGUAGCACUUCUACACCCACGGAAAAAGAGAAGCGCAAAAGAAGAAGGGAAAGAAAUCACGGAGGCGGCAAGGGAGAGAAGCUGGCCCUCAUGUUGCCGCCAGCCCAGAUAUGCCUCUCCUGUGAUGAGCCCACAGCAUGCUGGAUCUCCCCCCAGAUCUCCCACGCCGUAGGAUAAGCACCCUGGAGACAGAGGUGGGGGGUCAGAAUGGGGACGACCACCGUCAGUAUAGAGGAGGUUCGGGCGCAAGAGGGUAAAGAGGAACGAGAGGAGUCCAUCUUGGCCCUGCUGGGGAUCAUUGGCACCUUUUUGAACCUCUUCGUCAUCGUGUUUGUUUACAUCUACACUACUCUGUGAGAAGGAUCCACGUGGGGUGAGAGCAGGUGGAGGUGAGGGGCGGAGAUAUGACAGAAGGGUUGACAUCUCACAGAGAAGAACGUGGAAGAUGACACUGGGCCGCUCAGGACGGGGGAAGUGACGUUUGCUCUUGAGCUCUGACACCUUUGCGUAUAUAUAAAUCUCGAUGUGAUGGACGCCUGUUUAACGCAGAUCUCUGGACACACUGAGAGCGAUUCUUGGAUUUGUACCCUUGCAGGAGGUGGUCAUGGGACAAGAGACCUUGAGUUUCCCAGGUGGUGGGAAUUACAUCGAGCACUGCCUUGCUUCAAUUGCAAGGACACAGGUACGCAGAAAGAGCCUACUGGUCAAACACAAGAACAUGACAGGAUGACCGAACGACUCUUUCCGAACUUAUCCACCAAUAGAAAGAGUUUUGCAAUAAAAUGGAAAAAUUGGAAUUCUGAAAUAUUUUUCUAUUGAGAACAAAAGAGAGAAUGAGACACUCCGGGACCCAUCUGCAGGUUCGAAAAGCUGGACCUUGUGGGAACAGGCAGUUCAGUGACAUUUGGACACUUUUCCACUACAGUUCCUCCUCCUUUCUGACUGGUGGCGGCAAGAUAAAUAGACAAAUAUGAGUGUGCGUGUGUGUUUUCUGUCUGAUUUGAGUGCAGUGUCAGACACGUUGUUUCGGUGCAAAGGAAAACGCUUUUGUAUCGAUACAUGAUUACAUACUAGAUGUACUGUGCCAUAGGGAAUCUAAUCAAUAAAAUGAUAUUCUAUGGAUCGGGAUGUUGUGAAUGGCAUGCAUGUGUGAGAAAAAUGCUUUAGCUGUAUCAGAUGGUCUUGUUUCAACAAGACCAAAGUUGACCAAUCACGUAUGUGCUGCCCUGCACGUCUUUGGGUGUGAGUCAUGCAUUUGGGUUUUUGAGUGUUAGUAGAGCUCUGCGCACCAUUAAAGACAGUCAGGUAAAAUAACAAACAGUUGUGAAAAGGGAAAAAAUGGAGGAGGUUGGGGCAGAGAUGGUUACUAAGCUUCAAUAUUUUCAUCCAUCUUUCCCAGUGGUGAUGGAGGUGUUUUUACGCCCUUUGAGUACGCAGAGGUCAGUUUCCUGUCACAUGUGAUAUAGAGUGGCAGAAAUAGUUGAUG